CCUACGGGAGGCAGCAGUGGGGAAUUUUGGACAAUGGACGCAAGUCUGAUCCAGCCAUGCCGCGUGUGGGAAGAAGGCCUUCGGGUUGUAAACCACUUUUGUCAGGGAAGAAACGGCUCGGGUUAAUACCUUGGGCUAAUGACGGUACCUGAAGAAUAAGCACCGGCUAACUACAUGCCAGCAGCCGCGGUAAUACGUAGGGUGCAAGCGUUAAUCGGAAUUACUGGGCGUAAAGCGUGCGCAGGCGGUUAUGCAAGACAGAUGUGAAAUCCCCGGGCUCAACCUGGGAACUGCAUUUGUGACUGCAUGGCUAGAGUACGGUAGAGGGGGAUGGAAUUCCGCGUGUAGCAGUGAAAUGCGUAGAUAUGCGGAGGAACACCGAUGGCGAAGGCAAUCCCCUGGACCUGUACUGACGCUCAUGCACGAAAGCGUGGGGAGCAAACAGGAUUAGAUACCCUGGUAGUCCACGCCCUAAACGAUGUCAACUGGUUGUUGGGAGGGUUUCUUCUCAGUAACGUAGCUAACGCGUGAAGUUGACCGCCUGGGGAGUACGGCCGCCAGGUUGAAACUCAAAUGAAUUGACGG
rnacentral:rRNA from 1 species